AAGGGUCCGUUUGUUUGGAAGUAAAAUAUUAUCUCCAGAAAAGCUUUUCAGCCUUUUUAAGUGUUUGUUUGGCUGAAAAUAUUUUUUCUAAUGUAAAAUCUUUUACAAAAUAAGGUAAAUGAUGGGCGAUGAUGUUGAUUGCAAAAAUGGAAGGAAGUCUUUCGGCUCUAUUUCAUGCUCAAUUUGCCUCGAAACGGUUACUGAUAAUGGGGAUCGGUUGUGGGCUAAGCUUCAAUGUGGGCAUCAAUUUCAUUUGGGUAAGUCAAAAUUGUAAAGAUUCGGAAUUGAUUUUUGUCAAUGAAUUUUUUUUUCUAGAACUGGGCUGGAAAGAUCUGAGCUCUGGUUUGCUCAUUUAAUUUAUUGGGUGUGUUUAGUUUUGGUUUGAUUGAUGACGGAAAUGAGGAAAUCAUAAGGAUUGAAUUAAUUUUAUAGCUUAUGCUAUUUUACAAGCUGAAAAAUAAAAAAUUAGCUUCAUUAAACAAUGAUGAUUAAUUAUAUCAGGAUCAGUUCAAUAGAGCUUUGAUAUUUCAAAUAA